rnacentral:rRNA from 1 species
AUUGAACGCUGGCGGCAGGCCUAACACAUGCAAGUCGAGCGGAUGAAAGGAGCUUGCUCCUUAAUUCAGCGGCGGACGGGUGAGUAAUGCCUAGGAAUCUGCCUAUUAGUGGGGGACAACGUUUCGAAAGGAACGCUAAUACCGCAUACGUCCUACGGGAGAAAGUGGGGGCUCUUCGGACCUCACGCUAAUAGAUGAGCCUAGGUCGGAUUAGCUAGUUGGUGAGGUAAUGGCUCACCAAGGCAACGAUCCGUAGCUGGUCUGAGAGGAUGAUCAGCAACACUGGAGCUGAGACACGGUCCAGACUCCUACGGGAGGCAGCAGUGGGGAAUAUUGGACAAUGGGCGAAAGCCUGAUCCAGCCAUGCCGCGUGUGUGAAGAAGGUCUUGGAUUGUAAAGCACUUUAAGUUGGGAGGAAGGAUUGUUAGCUAAUAUCUAGCAGUCUUGACGUUACCAACAGAAUAAGCACCGGCUAACUCUGUGCCAGCCGCCGCAGUAA